rnacentral:rRNA from 1 species
AGCAGCCGCGGUAAUUCCAGCUCCAAUAGCGUAUAUUAAAGUUGUUGCAGUUAAAAAGCUCGUAGUUGAAUUUCGAGAUCAAAUUGUUGGUCGUGCCUCGGUACGUACUGGCAUUAUUGAUUUCUCCUUUCUGAAGAACCUUGAUGUCAUUAAUUUGGUGUCUUGGGGAAUCAGGACCGUUACUUUGAAAAAAUUAGAGUGUUUAAAGCAGGCUCACGCUUGAAUACAUUAGCAUGGAAUAAUGAAAUAGGACGUUUGAUUCUAUUUUGUUGGUUUCUAGGAUCGACGUAAUGAUUAAUAGGGAUAGUUGGGGGCAUUAGUAUUCAAUUGUCGGAGGUGAAAUUCUUGGAUUUAUUGAAGACUAACUACUGCGAAAGCAUUUGCCAAGGAUGUUUUCAUUAAUCAAGAACGAAAGUUAGGGGAUCGAAGACGAUCAGAUACCGUCGUAGUCUUAACCAUAAACUAUGCCGACUAGGGAUCGGAUGAUGUUAAUUUUUAAUGACUCAUUCGGCGCCUUAAC